rnacentral:rRNA from 1 species
UACAGAGGGUGCGAGCGUUAAUCGGAAUUACUGGGCGUAAAGCGCGCGUAGGCGGCUUUGCAAGUCGGGUGUGAAAUCCCCAAGCUCAUCUUGGGAACUGCAUUCGAGACUGCUUUGCUAGAGUAUGGGAGAGGGAAGUGGAAUUUCAGGUGUAGCGGUGAAAUGCGUAGAUAUCUGAAGGAACAUCAGUGGCGAAAGCGACUUCCUGGACCAAUACUGACGCUCAUGUGCGAAAGCGUGGGGAGCAAACAGG